GCUUGUCUCAAAGAUUAAGCCAUGCAUGUCUUAGUGUAAAUAACUCUUAUGAAACUGCGAAUGGCUCAUUAAAUCAGUUAUCAAAUACGUGAUGGUCGCCUACUACAUGGAUAACCGUAGUAAUUCUAGAGCUAAUACAUGCAGCAAUCCCUGACUUAGGAAAGGGUGUACUUAUUAGAUGGAAACCAAUGAGGGGCAACCCUGUAUAUGGUGAUUCAUAAUAAUUUUCGGAUCGAUCUUUGAUCGAUGCAUCAUUCAAGUUUCUGCCCUAUCAGCUUUGGAUGGUAGGGUAUUGGCCUACCAUGGCUUUAACGGGUAACGGAGAAUUAGGGUUCGAUUCCGGAGAGGGAGCCUGAGAAAUGGCUACCACAUCCAAGGAAGGCAGCAGG
rnacentral:rRNA from 1 species